UUUCUAUUUUCUUUUUCUCUAGCACGCUCAUGCAAAGACUGUUAGGCAUCUAUUUUGUUUUUUCAAGGCUGCUUCUUCACACUUCAAUCAAUCAGAAAGGGUUAUCUAAUCUGCGAGACUCAGGGUUGGAUAGAUUGAUGUUGUUUGGGAGUCGAAGAAGCAAAGAUUGACUGAUACUUUACAAUGGGAUUUGAUAAUGAGUGCAUACCUAACAUUCAAUCUCUUUCUGGAGAGUAUUUCUGUCCCGUUUGUCGCCUUCUUGUGUACCCAAAUGAAGCAUUACAAUCACAAUGCACUCACUUGUACUGCAAACCCUGUUUGACAUAUGUCGUCAGCACUACCCGAGCCUGCCCCUAUGACGGCUACCUUGUGACAGAAGCAGAUUCCAAGCCUCUUAUUGAAUCGAACAAGGUACUUGCUGAAACCAUUGGCAAGAUAACUGUCCAUUGUUUAUAUCAUAGGAGUGGGUGCCCCUGGCAGGGUCCUCUGUGUGAGUGCACAUCUCAUUGCUCGGGAUGUGCCUUUGGUAAUUCUCCUGUAGUUUGCAACAGGUGUGGAAUUCAAAUUGUGCACAGUCAAGUGCAGGAACAUGCUCAAAAUUGUCCAGGUGUGCAGCCUCAAGCGCAACCUGCUGAGGGUGCCCAAGAUGCAACAAGCACAGGCGCACCAACUACUGGUGUUCAGGCUCAGGCUGCCAUUCAAACAGGAACAACAACUCCCCAGGCUCAAUCUUCUAUGACCUCAACUCCUGGAAAAGAUACCACCCAACAAAUCAACGCAACUACCCAGGCCCAGACUGCAGUGCAGGCUGUGGCGCCCACUGCAGAACAGUGGUAUCAACAGCAACAGCAAUAUCAGCAGUACUACCAGCAGUAUCCUGGAUAUGACCCAUAUCAACAGCAUUAUCAGCAGUACUAUCCAUAUCAACAGCAAGCAGUUUCACAAUACCAGCAACCGCAGGUGAGCAUGCAUGCUCAAGUCCCCCAACCCCAGCUGCAGACCCAACCUCAACCUCAAGUACCCAUUGCUGCUCAACCUCAGAACCAGGUACAAGUGAAUCCACAGCAACAAACUCACCUUACAGUUCAGCAACAAUCUCUGACCCAACUGCAGGCAUAUCCACCAGCCCAUGGCUAUCCACCUCCCCAGGCUCAAUCCAAUCCACAACCUCACCCUGUUCAGCCUCUUCCACAGCACGUGCCUCAAUAUCAGCAUCCUCAAUUGCAGGUGCAGCAUCCACAGCCCCAAAUUCAGGCACAGACUAAUUCUCAGCUUCACCCUCAAAAGCAUCCUGUUCCUCAACCUCAUGUACAAGCUCAGCCACAAACACUCCAGCCCAUUCCACAAUCCCUGGCUUCUCAGCCCAGCCAGACUGUUAAUCCUAAUCUCCAGACCCAGCCUCAGCAUUCUUCAAUCAAUGCAGUGACAGGCCAUCAUUCUUAUCAACAGCCCCAGAUUCACCAACAAAUGCAGACAGGAGCCCUAAAACACUCUCAAGGGGGACCUCAACCUCCGUCACAACAGCCUGUUCAAAUGCAGAGUCAGUUCCCUCAACAAUCACCUUUAUGGCCUCAGCCACAAUACCAUGCUGCAGCUCAAAACCUGCAGCAACCAGGUUUGCUACCUUCACAAGGUCAAGUCCCAAACAUUCCUCCUGUACUACAACAGCCAAUUCAUUCUCAUGCACAUCAACCUGGACUUCCUGUUCAACAACGUCCUGGUAUGCAGCCAACUCCGCAACCAACGCAUCAGCAAUAUGCACAGCACCAGCAGCCUUUUUCUGGGCAACCAUGGGGUGCAGUUCAGAAUCAAGCACAUCAGCAAGGUCCUUAUGUGCAGCAGCAGCUGCAUCCACAGACUCAACUACGCCCCCAAGGAUUACCCCAGUCAUUCCAGCAACCUUCUCAUGCCUAUCCACAUCCCCAGCAAAAUGUUCUAUUACCGCAUGGUGCACAUCCCCAUCAAGCUAAAAGUCUUGCAGUAGGGCCUGGAUUACCUGCACAGUCAUAUCCACAAUCUGCCUCUGGUAUGCAGGUCAGGUCGAUUCAGAUUGGUGCAAUCCAGCAAUCUGGAAAUAUUCUGAAGACAAAUAACCAAGUUGAAUUAUCUUCUGACCAACAAUCAGGGGUUACUUCUAGACAAAAGCAAGGUGAUAUUGAUAAAGGUGCAGAAGGUGAAUUGUCUGCUAAAAAAACUAUUAAAAAGGAAUUAAAUGAUUUGGAUGCUGGUCUUGCAGCUGAUGGAAGUGAGAUAAAAACCAUAAAAUCUGAAAGCGACUUGAAGCAAGUGGAUGAAAAAAAUAAACUCACAGGUGAAGCUAAGAAUGUUCCAGAAUCACUUGCAGCAGCAAAUGGAGAGUCUUCAAUUGAGCAGGUGAAAGAAGAGCAUAGAGAUGGUGCUGAUGAGCAAAAUGAUGUUUCUAAUGCUGGACACGAAAAGGUGGAGCUCUCUGUUUCAGAACACAAGGAUGGUCCUCUGCUGGAAGCUGCCCCGUCUCACCUUGAAGAACAAAUUAUGACAUUGCAGAAGGACAAAACUCCGACUUCUCAAAGUUUUGGAGGCUUUCCUCCAAAUGGUCACGGGCAAUCUCAAUCAGUUUCAGCUGUUGACCAGGGAAAGCUAGAGCCUCUUCCAAUUCAUCACGGGCCCUCUGCUGCUCAACAAAGGCCUGUUGGACCUUCAUUGGCGCAAGCAUCUCCUCUUGGACCUCCACAUCACAUGCAAUUGCCUGGGCAUCCUCCAACUCAACAUGGGCGUUUAGGUCCUGGACAUGUACCAAGUCAUUAUGGUCCUCCUCAAGGGGCUUAUCCUCAUGCACCCGCACCCCCAUCUCAAGGUGAGCGAACUCCUUCACAUGUCCAUGAAGCCACCAUGUUUGCAAAUCAGAGGCCUAAAUAUCCAGAUGGUAGACAAGGCACGUACUCAAAUGUGGUAGGAAUAAAUGGGGCCCAAGGCCCUAAUUCAGAUAGGUUCAGCUCUUUACCAGAUGAGCAUUUGAAUCCAUUUCCACGUGGCCCAGCACAUCACAAUGUUCAGCAAGGAGAGUUUGAAGAAGAUCUGAAGCAUUUCCCCAGGCCCUCUCAUUUGGAAACCGAACCUGUUCCAAAAUCUAGUAGUCACUUUGCCUCAUCCAGACCUCUUGAUAGGGGUCCUCGUGGUUUUGGUGUGGACGGAGCACCAAGACCUCUUGACAAGGGAUCCCAUGGUUUUAAUUAUGAUUCAGGGUUGAACAUGGAACCACUGGGUGGCUCUGCUCCUCCAAGAUUCUUUCCUUCCUAUCAUCAUGAUAAAGCAUUGCAUCCCAGUGAUGCGGAAGUAUCAUUAGGUUAUCAUGACAGUCUAGCAGGCCGAUCUGACUUUGCUCGAACUCGUCCUGGUUUUCUUGGGCCCCCUAUUCCUGGAUAUGAUCACCGUCAUAUGGAUAAUUUGGCCCCAAGAAGUCCAGUUAGGGAUUACCCUGGCAUGCCUACACGGAGAUUUGGUGCCCUUCCAGGCCUAGAUGAUAUUGAUGGCAGAGAUCCACACCGAUUUGGUGAUACAUUUUCUAGUUCUCUCCGUGAUAGUAGGUUUCCAGUUUUUCCUAGCCAUUUGCGCAGGGGCGAGCUUGAGGGUCCUGGUAAUUUGCACAUGGGUGAGCAUUUGAGUGGUGAUUUGAUGGGACAUGAUGGUCGGCCUGCCCAUUUGCGGAGGGGUGAACAUUUGGGUCCUCGUAACCUGCCCAGUCAUUUGUGGGUGGGAGAACCAGGUAACUUCGGUGCUUUCCCUGGUCAUGCACGAAUGGGAGAAUUGGCUGGGCCAGGGAACUUCUAUCAUCAUCAACUUGGUGAGCCUGGAUUUAGAAGCAGCUUUGGUGGAAACUAUGCAGGCGACUUGCAGUUUUUUGAUAAUUCUAGAAAGAGAAAACCAAGCAUGGGAUGGUGUCGUAUAUGUAAAGUUGACUGCGAAACAGUUGAAGCCCUGGACUUGCAUUCACAAACAAGGGAGCACCAAAAGAUGGCUCUAGAUAUGGUUGUAACCAUCAAGCAGAAUGCAAAGAAGCAUAAAUCAACUCCCAGUCAUCAUUCCUCACUUGAAGAUAAAAGCAAGUCAAGGAAUGCAAGUUUUGAGGGACGUGGGAAUAAGCAUUAACUCAUGAUGGUGCCUGGCAAUUGAAUCACAUUGGACUUGUUGCAGUUGAAUUUGUUCCUUUGGUAAUUUGAACUUGGCAGCAUUGGUGAUUCAACCUUCCAUUGCCCAUUUCCUGCAUUUCCCAAUGGUUUAUGCCAGUUUUGUCAAUUCAGGUUGCUGCCUUGUUAAAAGGAGAGUUUUCGGACCUGAAGUUCAGUGGCAGUAGUUUUUGAUGACGCAUGCAAUUGGAUUGAACUCAAAUCCUGUAGCCUCAACUCUUUUGAUUGGGAAUUGCCACUCUGCUAAACUUCUCAUAAGAUGACAGUAAAAUUACAAUAGGUUGUUUAUUCAAACUUCUUUUGUUAAUGGCACUAGCUAGACAUGUGACAUCCCUUAUUUGGGUUAAUAGAAUCUCUUAGUAUUGAAAUUUUAAGACAUAAGAAAGUGUUGAUGCUUAUAUCUUAUGAAAUUUGGAUCUAGCACUUAAUAACUUCUUUAGGAUUGCAAUAGUUUCUUAUCAAAUUUUAAGAUAAUUCUGGAUGGUUUUCGUCACUUAGAUCAAAUUUUUUCAGAGCAGCCGGCUCAAAGAGAUGAUCAUUUUAUAGUGUGACAAUUGUAAUUAAUCAAAUUCUAGCCUUUUCCUCAUUAUGUUAAUUUAUGUCAUGUUAUGUUCUAAAGACAUCCCUACAUGUCCACAUUAUGUUAAUUUCUUGGCCAGCUGGCUCAUUUAAACUUUUUCCUUUCAUAUAUAUUUUUUCUAUCUUUAAAUGUCUAUAUCAGUGAACUUGGAACUUCAUUAGGUGCAGCAAAGGAGAUUGUUUCUUAUGUCAUAUCAAAAUUGGAACUGCAUAACAAUACUCGACAAUUUGAUCGUGCCAUUCAAUUUCUGAUUGAUGUGGUUGAUCAAUCUUUAUGGUGGCCAUGCAUGAUUAUAUUUUACUUUGACUUUAUGUUGGAAUGUUGCGAAUCUUUCCACUUGAUUCUUAAUGUUCAAAGAAUAAAGCUUGGAAAUUAUACAUUAAGAAUAGUAAUUCACUGCCAAUUUUUGCUCUACCAAUUGCAGCAAAAUUUUAUGAGAUGAAAGUAUCUUCUGCCUGAAUAAAAUUCUUAAAGUUUUGAGGGAAUUGAGGUGGAUUUGGAAAUUCUUAGCAAAUUUAGGAAUUGAACUCAGUGUUAUGAGGUUUGUAGGCAAGUCCAGAACCAAGUUUUGUUUCAUAGUUUGUGUUAUCUGAGAAGAUUUGCACACUGUUCUCUUGGAAGCUGACUUAUUGGAAGCAUAUAUGAGGGGAGAGUAUUUAAUUAAGAAGAGCCUGGCUGAUUUAUGUGGUAUACUGAUAGUCAUACAUGAAUUUGCUAAUAAAGGAAGCUAUAGCUGUGCUUUGUGGAGAUAACUACAUAUUUUUGGUAUUUGCUAAUGAAUUGUGUGAUGGUUUCUUGGUUAGAAGAUAGCGAGAUUAAGAUCCAUUUUCUUAAGUGAAGACUGCCUGCUAAGUGCUGUUUUUCUCUCCCUUUCUUGGAUGGUUUCAACUACAUCUUGAAUAUCUGACUCUUAGCACCUUCAUUAGGGAUAAUAUAUUCCAUCGACCAUGCUAUUAGAGAUUCCAUUUCUUCUAACUGGUGACUCCAAUACAUUUCUUAACAGAUUUUAUGUUUUUAUUGAUUGAAAAUGCUGCUUUCCAGUAGCUUUCUUCAUUGCUGAAAUUAUAGUAGCUGAUUAUUUUGGUAGCAUGAGGCACUGCAUAAUGCUGCCACAAUUCAUUGACUCUGAUAGUGUUGAUUUUUAUUUUGUGGUGAAUUUUUUUUAUAAUAGAUAUUUUCAAUUCGGCCUGUCUUUUUGGGUGAAGCCUACAACAAAAAGACUGAAAGUUCAGCGGAAAGGUUUACCCAGUCGUCUUUUUUAGAUGUGGUGAGGUUAUGUUCAUCCAACAGAUGUAAGUUGUGAAAUUUCGCUGGUUAGUAUUGAUGAUUUGAAUUUUCUUUAUUACCGAAGUAGAAUUUUUUUGUGUAGAUUUUUCACCCUCUUAAUGAUCAAGCAUUUGAUUGCUGAAAAUGACUAGGAUAGGCAUACUAAUCUUAGGAAACUAGGAGGCUUGAAAAUGACUAGGAUCAAGUAUAAAUUGGCUAGCUGAUAUUAGAAAACUAAGAGGCUUCUUGAAUAGCUUUCUUAUCUUGGUCGGCUGAUUUUUCUAUUAUCCUCUAAGUAUCUUUGGCAUUCCUUAUAUGUGGGGUGGGGUGUGGGGUGUGGGGUGAUGAAUCCUUUGUAUAGUACCUCUCCAUUUUUCUGUAGUUUUUAAAACAUAAUAUGUUGGACGUGAGAACUUUGAAUAAUUUGCUGCACAUAUGAAGGUACUAGUUUAAAGGAAAAUUUCAUAUGAGGGUGCUAGUUUAAAGGAAAUCAUGAAACAUGAUCGACACUCCUUGACAUGGAACGAAUUAAUACAAAAUAUUGGGGGUUAGAAGAAAAAUAAAAAUGAAUCUCCAUUGUAAAUGGAUAUUUCAAAUAGGAUUUGUGUCAUAUAUGAAGUCAGGCUGCUACGGUUAUAAUGGCUUAAGCACUAGCUUAGUAUAUUUUAGGAUAGAGAGGAUGGGCAUUAUGCAACUAGCUUAGUAUAUUUUAGGAUAUAGAGGAUGGGCAUUAUGCAACUCUUAAACAAAGCUUAUAACGUUGACUGCAUUGUACAAAAGAAGAGAAAAACAAAGGAAUAAAAAGAAAAAUAUGUGGUUUGCCCGGGUUGGACAUGAUGAAAUUAUUGUCAUCUGCUAUCUGGGGAAGAGGGUUUACUACUACUCUAGCUUUGUGGUUUUUUGGUGAGACUGGCUGGACUAUACUCUGUAUUCUAUAAUAUACAUUUAGAGCAGAAGCUGCUAUUUUCUGCACUUGCAGUGUGAUGAGACAUGCCAUUUUAAGUAAAGUACGCUGGUUAAUUAUACUUUAUAAAGCCUUUGUCAAGGAUCAUAAACCAAGUUUGAGUGUUCAAAUGCACCUUGUAAAAUACAUGUUAGAAGUUGUAGGCUUAGAAUAUGUGCUCGGGAAAAAAAAAAUCAACUGCUUCAUAGUUUAUUGGUACACCAUCAGUGUUUAAAUUGAUGCCGUGGAACACACAAGCAAGGUUUUUCAUUGGUAUAUAAUUUCUGAAAAAAAGAAGCAAACAAGGAACUACACAAACCUCCCCCUCAAACUACUGCCUGGUCAAACUAAUUAGGUUGAAAUAAAUUGUGGUUGUGCCCAUCAUAAUCCGCCACAGCGUGGGUUGCUGCAAAUUUAGACACCCAUUAAAGGAACACACUCAUAAAUUGUGGUCUUAAUUGCUAAAGAAUGUGAGAUACAGAAAAUUUAAACCCAAAUAUUUUUAUAUCAACAAAAUCAUUGAUGUUUGCUUCAGAUUCGUCCUCUUGAUUGACAAUUAAGUGGUCAUAACCUGGUCUCUUAUUGUUAGCUACUAGUUGAAAUGUUGCCAAAGUAAUUGAGGAAUGCUGAUUUCAUUUAAAUCAUCUAAACUUACUUAAUAUUCAAGAUCACUGCAUAGACGCAAUUCAAAACCCUAAGUUAUUGUGACUCAUUCAGUUGAUAUUAAUUUUGAUUCAUUUAUGCAAUUGUGAUUCUUUUAUGGACCUCUUAUGCUUUAUGAACUCCUAUCAUCUCUUAUAACAAAAAAAUGGUGCUUUACUCGAAGCAAUGCCGCAGCCUUUUCACUAGGAGACAUCCUCUGGACUUCAAACCUGCUUCUUCAUCUGUUUCACCAGGUUUGUGGUUUUUAUUCCUCUAGAUUCUGAGAAUUUUCCACUCAAAUAAUGAAUCCUGUCUGGUCAUUUUUCUUCAUUUGUAACAUCGGGGUUGUGGGGUUGUACUGGCAAUCUUUCUACCUGGUGCUUAGGUAUUGAUCAUCAUGUGGACUUCUUUAUUGGAUAGAAAAGUGUUUUAAUUCUUCAAACUAGGACACAAAGCUCACAUCAAUGGACGACAUCAUCUUGAAUAGCUAUGCUAGACAGAUACUAGCUGCUGUCAUCUAGGUCAUUGUUGUCAAAUUUUCGAUUAACUAAUUCCUUGAACAUUGGUUUGGGUGUUAUGUCAUAUUUUGCCUGCUAGAUAAGGUUAAAAAAUGAAUAAUACUAAAGAGUAAAUUUUCAGGGGUAAAUGUAAUGGUGUUUUGGUUAAGUGCUUAGGGAUGAACACGAUUUGAAUUUUGAGGGGCAACCCUGUAUAAUUGUAGGUCAAUAUCACACCCAGUUUUGGGGUGAAAUGCAUGCUCCCUUAACUUUUUUCCUCUCCCUCUUUUAUACCAUGUUGAACAAGCGUGAAUGCUACUGGGACAAUUCUCUACUCCCUUGUAUACACAAACGUAGGUUGGAAUCUUACCAAUUGAAUUAGAAAAGAAGGUUCAGAAGAAAUGGUUGUCAAUAAAGCAAAAUUUCAUGAAGGUAAAAGAUAUAUGUUGUGUUGGUGACUUAGUGAUGAUUGAUAAGUUAGUGUGCUCAGUACCAUAACAUAAACGUUGUCAGCAGUUGGUGUCAGACAUGUGCUCUGAGAUUAAGCAUGCUUCAAUGGAGAACAGAAUCUAUAACUAAUGCACUUUAUAGAUGAUGUUGGGGAAAAUAAUGCAUUUGUGAAGAUACAAUGCUUGGUGUCCCAAAAAAGCAGGGUUGAUGAAUGGUUAAGAAGAUACCUUUCAUCAUAUCGAACCUGCUGGGCCUGAGAAUACCAAAGUAGGAGCAACACAAGAAAAAGAAAGUGCUAGUAGCUGAAAAUGCUAUAGGAGAUGUGAAUCUUUACUUUUUACAGUUCAAAUAUAAUCUCUUCCUCCCACUUAACAGUAACAUUAUGCAAAAAAUAGACAAUUGGUGGCCUUAACAUGCCAGAUUAAUUGUAAGCUGUUCAAGCUAUUUGAUGCUAAGAACUUUACUUUAUUGGCAUAUUAAAUAAAUUACUGUCGUUUGUUGCUGAAGGUACUACUCUUUCUUUCAAGAGUAAUGUUCCAUCAAUUUUUUAAUAGAAAUUAUCCACUAGUGUUAUGCUGUAUCCUUUAGCAAGUACCAUGUUUUGAUAUAUCUGUGCCACUCUUCUAAUGGAUAUUAAUUGGACCAAUGCAUCCAUAAAUAAUUUAUUUUAUGUGGUUCUGUGAUUUCUUGACACUUUCAGGAUGAACGAAAAAUCUAAAACUGGAAAUUCAUUUAUUACAAGUCAACAGAUUUGUCGUCAAUAUACAAUUGAGUUGCAUACCUUAGAAAUUUAAAUGGGAUUUAAGAUGAUAAUGAUGAUAUUGGGCAAUACCUUCUGUGUAUGUCUGAUGUACACUUCUGUUAUGAACUCAUCAAGCAACGAUUCCAAAGUUUGCACUUUUUAUACAGGGCUGUGAUUCAAUAAUAUGUUGAAAGCUGUUUCCUUUUUAGUCCACCUUGCCAGUUAACUUGUGGAGUCUAUCUAGCAUUUUCGUUUUGUUUCUUAUUUGGUAGUGGAUUGCACCUUAUUUGUCAGUUAACUUGUGGAGGGUAUCUAGCGUUUUCAUUUCAAUUAUCUGUGAUGUUUUAGGCUUUAUUCAUCAGUUAGUUGACAUCAAUGUGGUACACCAUUACGUGAUCUUGUGUUUGAAGGGGGGAGAAAAGUGAGAGUUAACAAUAAUACCUUUUGGUAUUACCUCUUAAGAAGCUCCAGUCCAAACUUAGAAUAAUGGAUCUACGUUCAUUCUCUUUCUACAAAGCAAAAUCAAAGUAAUAUUUUUAUGAUGUUUUGAUGCAAAAUUUAUAAUGGUCUCGAUUCCCCUUCUCCACAACAUGGCUUUGAAGUCCACUUGGGUGGAGAACAAUGUUGUAAAAUGUUGAGACAACUGCUAUCAAAUACAAUUAAAAUGGUUUCUUCCGGAUUUAAGCUGUUACAAUUUCUGCUUGGAGUAGGCUUGUGCAUGAACAAAUCGAUCUCCUUUUACAUUAGUGUGGGAUUUAUGGCGGGUUACUGGGAGAAAGUUGAAUAAUAUGAGAGGAUGCUUGUAGACUUCGGAUAAUUUUCAGGAAACGUUUCUUAUGAAGUUACCGGGAUAAGAAAAGAGUCUAAUCACGAUUCUCUGAACACUAUAUUUAACAGAAGAUAGCAUGUAGGCAGGCAGGCAGGCCCUCGUUACCUGAAUUUAAUGAGUGUUGUCUCGGUGGGUCUUGAUAGCAGCCACCCCUGAGAAAUAAUUAUUAGGCGAUGGGAUUUUUUUUUAAACUUCAAAAUCACAUUUCUUGCCGAAAAUACAUGGCCAAGGAAUUGCAUGCAUCUUCGGAUAGUGAUCAUAAUGGCCUAACAUCAAGUAUCAACCCAGCGUCUGGAUUGUAGUCUAAAGGUGCAGUACGGAAGAAGAAAAGAAACAGAGUGUACAAGGUGGUGCUAGGAAUAUGCGGCCCUUAAGUUGGGCUUUGGGUUAUCACUUAUUAAUGCUUGCUGCCUUUUCCCUUUCUUUUCGGGUCUUUCUUCAUAAUGUCUCAAUAAUCUAUUGUGGAACUUUGGUUCUAAUCCAUGGAGUUUGCUUGUCCAUGGAGUAUGAACUUUGGUUCAUACCCUGCACCAUCAAGUUUGCUUGUCUAUGCAAGGAACAAGGGACGGCCUCUUCCGGGAAAAGAAGCUUUUUUCUAGUGGCGGAUUACUUUCUCUGGGGUUUUCCUAUACACCCACACCUUUCCAUUAAAGCUUCAGUUGUUUUGCGUGGAAUAUAAUCUUUAUCUCACUUUUAAGCAGGCAUAUAUACCAGGGAAUUGUGGCUUAAUUUUUAAACUUUGUAUUGCUGAAAAAUGUUAGCUUUGUAGUGAUACUCUCGUGGGUUGAAAUAUGAUAGGAAUUGUACUAUUUUGUUU